rnacentral:misc_RNA from 1 species
CAAAAUGCGAUAAGUAAUGUGAAUUGCAGAAUUCAGUGAAUCAUCGAAUCUUUGAACGCACAUUGCGCCCGCCAGUAUUCUGGCGGGCAUGCCUGUUCGAGCGUCAUUUCAACCCUCAAGCCCCCCGGGUUUGGUGUUGGGGAUCGGGCUGCGGUUCUGCCGCGUCCCGGCCCCGAAAUCUAGUGGCGGUCUCGCUGCAGCCUCCAUUGCGUAGUAGCUAACACCUCGCAACUGGAACGCGGCGCGGCCAAGCCGUUAAACCCCCCAACUUCUGAAUGUUGACCUCGGAUCAGGUAGGAAUACCCGCUGAACUUAAGC